GGGAAUGAGGCUCAGUGGUAGAGUGCUUGCCUUGCAUGCAUGAGGCCCUGGGUUUGAUUCCUCAGCAUAAGCA
rnacentral:tRNA from 1 species